rnacentral:rRNA from 1 species
UACGUAGGGUGCGAGCGUUAAUCGGAAUUACUGGGCGUAAAGCGUGCGCAGGCGGUGAUGUAAGACAGAUGUGAAAUCCCCGGGCUCAACCUGGGAACUGCAUUUGUGACUGCAUCGCUGGAGUGCGGCAGAGGGGAUGGAAUUCCGCGUGUAGCAGUGAAAUGCGUAGAUAUGCGGAGGAACACCGAUGGCGAAGGCAAUCCCUGGGCCUGCACUGACGCUCAUGCACGAAAGCGUGGGGAGCAAACAGG